rnacentral:rRNA from 1 species
UGGGGAAUAUUGCACAAUGGGCGCAAGCCUGAUGCAGCCAUGCCGCGUGUGUGAAGAAGGCCUUCGGGUUGUAAAGCACUUUCAGCGAGGAGGAAGGUGGUGAGCUUAAUACGCUCAUCAAUUGACGUUACUCGCAGAAGAAGCACCGGCUAACUCCGUGCCAGCAGCCGCGGUAAUACGGAGGGUGCAAGCGUUAAUCGGAAUUACUGGGCGUAAAGCGCACGCAGGCGGUUUGUUAAGUCAGAUGUGAAAUCCCCGGGCUCAACCUGGGAACUGCAUUUGAAACUGGCAAGCUAGAGUCUCGUAGAGGGGGGUAGAAUUCCAGGUGUAGCGGUGAAAUGCGUAGAGAUCUGGAGGAAUACCGGUGGCGAAGGCGGCCCCCUGGACGAAGACUGACGCUCAGGUGCGAAAAGCGUGGGGAGCAAAACAGGAUUAGAUACCCUGGUAGUCCACGCUGUAAAACGAUGUCGAUUUUGGAGGUUGUGCCCUUGAGGCGUGGCUUCCGGAGCUAACGCGUUAAAUCGACCGCCUGGGGAGUACGGCC